rnacentral:rRNA from 1 species
AUACCGGGCCUUUUUGGGCUUGGUAACUGGAAUGAGGGAGAGUUAAACGGACCAUCGAGUAUCCAUUGGAGGGCAAGUCUGGUGCCAGCAGCUGCGGUAAUACCAGCUCCAAUAGCGUAUAUUAAAGUUGUUGCAGUUAAAAAGCUCGUAGUUGGACUUGUGUGCGCUGUCCGCGGGUGGCCUGCGCCCAAAAGGGCGUUUCGGUUCGGCCCCGGUGGCGCCUUGAAAUCUGCAGCUGGGGGGACGUUGGCCUUAACUGGUCGGCGACCGCACGCCGGCUGCUCGGUUACUGUGAGAAAAUUAGAGUGUUCAAGGCAGGCAUUGGGUGCAAUUGAAUACAUUAGCAUGGAAUAAUAAAAUAUGGCUCCUGCCGUAUUUUGUUGGUUUUGACUGGUGGGAGUAAUGAUUGAUAGGGACGGUUGGGGGUGCUAGUAUUGUGCGGCCAGAGGUGAAAUUCAUGGAUUCGCUCAAGACUAACUUAUGCGAAAGCAUUCACCAAGGACGUCCUCUUUAAUCAAGAACGAAAGUUGGGGGAUCGAAGACGAUCAGAUACCGUCGUAGUCUCAACCAUAAACUAUGUCGACUUGGGAUCGGCGGUAGUUUUUUCAUUAAGACACUGUCGGGACCACGGGAGAAAUCAAAGUGUCUGGACUCUGGGGGAAGUAUGGUCGCAAGGCUGAAACUUGAAGGAAUUGACGGAAGGGCACCACCAGGAGUGGAGCCUGCGGCUUAAUUUGACCCAACACGGGGAAACUUACCAGGUCCAGAGAUGUAGAGGAUUGACAGAUUGAAGCUCUUUCUUGAUCACUUCGGUGGUGGUGCAUGGCCGUUCUUAGUUGGUGGAGUGAUUUGUCUGGUUAAUUCCGUUAACGAACGAGACCUCAGCCUGCUAGUGUAGUCGGCUGGAUUGCCUUUGGCGAUCCGUGAUUUCGACUUCUUAGAGGGACAAUCGACGCGCAGUCGAUGGAAGUUUGAGGCAAUAACAGGUCUGUGAUGCCCUUAGAUGUUCUGGGCCGCACGCGCGCUACACUGCUGGGCUCAGCGAGUUUUACUUGGCCGAGAGGCCCGGUUAAUCUUGUGAAAUCCCAGCGUGCUUGGGCUCGCCUCCUGCAACUGGAGGCGCCAACGAGGAAUUCCUAGUAGACGCAGGUCAUCAACCUGCAUCGAUUACGUCCCUGCCCUUUGUACACACCGCCCGUCGUUCCAUAAGAGUGAGGCAUCCGGUGAAUUCUCGGGAGAGCCUGGGCGUGGCCAGCAAUGGUCUGCUCGGGUUUGAACUUGCAUAAACUUGGUGCCUAUGAUUAGGG